rnacentral:rRNA from 1 species
CCUACGGGUGGCAGCAGUGAGGAAUAUUGGUCAAUGGGCGCUCGCCUGAACCAGCCAAGUAGCGUGAAGGAUGACGGCCCUAUGGGUUGUAAACUUCUUUUGUAUGGGAAUAAAGUGCAGUAUGUAUACUGCGUUGCAUGUACCUUAUGAAUAAGGAUCGGCUAACUCCGUGCCAGCAGCCGCGGUAAUACGGAGGAUCCGAGCGUUAUCCGGAUUUAUUGGGUUUAAAGGGAGCGUAGGCGGGUCGGUAAGUCAGUUGUUAAAGUUUGCGGCUCAACCCGAAAAUUGCAGUUGAAACUCGCAUCCUUGAGUACAGUAGAGGUAGGCGGAAUGCGUGGUGUAGCGGUGAAAUGCUUAGAUAUCACGAAGAACUCCGAUUGCGAAGGCAGCAUGCUGGACUGUAACUGACGCUGAUGCUCGAAAGCGUGGGUAUCAAACAGGAUUAGAUACCCUGGUAGGC